rnacentral:rRNA from 1 species
GACGAACGCUGGCGGCGUGCUUAACACAUGCAAGUCGAACGGAAAGGCCCUGCUUUUGUGGGGUGCUCGAGUGGCGAACGGGUGAGUAACAUGUGAGUAACCUGCCCUUGACUUUGGGAUAACUUCAGGAAACUGGGGCUAAUACCGGAUAGGAGCUCCUGCUGCAUGGUGGGGGUUGGAAAGUUUCGGCGGUUGGGGACGGACUCGCGGCUUAUCAGCUUGUUGGUGGGGUAGUGGCUUACCAAGGCUUUGACGGGUAGCCGGCCUGAGAGGGUGACCGGCCACAUUGGGACUGAGAUACGGCCCAGACUCCUACGGGAGGCAGCAGUGGGGAAUAUUGCACAAUGGGCGGAAGCCUGAUGCAGCAACGCCGCGUGCGGGAUGACGGCCUUCGGGUUGUAAACCGCUUUCGCCUGUGACGAAGCGUGAGUGACGGUAAUGGGUAAAGAAGCACCGGCUAACUACGUGCCAGCAGCCACGGUGAUACGUAGGGUGCGAGCGUUGUCCGGAUUUAUUGGGCGUAAAGGGCUCGUAGGUGGUUGAUCGCGUCGGAAGUGUAAUCUUGGGGCUUAACCCUGAGCGUGCUUUCGAUACGGGUUGACUUGAGGAAGGUAGGGGAGAAUGGAAUUCCUGGUGGAGCGGUGGAAUGCGCAGAUAUCAGGAGGAACACCAGUGGCGAAGGCGGUUCUCUGGGCCUUUCCUGACGCUGAGGAGCGAAAGCGUGGGGAGCGAACAGGCUUAGAUACCCUGGUAGUCCACGCUGUAAACGGUGGGUACUAGGUGUGGGGUCCAUUCCACGGGUUCCGUGCCGUAGCUAACGCUUUAAGUACCCCGCCUGGGGAGUACGGCCGCAAGGCUAAAACUCAAAGGAAUUGACGGGGCCCCGCACAAGCGGCGGAGCAUGCGGAUUAAUUCGAUGCAACGCGUAGAACCUUACCUGGGUUUGACAUGGAUCGGGAGUGCUCAGAGAUGGGUGUGCCUCUUUUGGGGUCGGUUCACAGGUGGUGCAUGGCUGUCGUCAGCUCGUGUCGUGAGAUGUUGGGUUAAGUCCCGCAACGAGCGCAACCCUUGUUCACUGUUGCCAGCACGUUAUGGUGGGGACUCAGUGGAGACCGCCGGGGUCAACUCGGAGGAAGGUGGGGAUGACGUCAAGUCAUCAUGCCCCUUAUGUCCAGGGCUUCACGCAUGCUACAAUGGCUGGUACAGAGAGUGGCGAGCCUGUGAGGGUGAGCGAAUCUCGGAAAGCCGGUCUCAGUUCGGAUUGGGGUCUGCAACUCGACCUCAUGAAGUCGGAGUCGCUAGUAAUCGCAGAUCAGCAACGCUGCGGUGAAUACGUUCCCGGGGCU